CGGGGUUCACUGCGUCCAUGACCUGCGGAGGGAUCAUUACACAAAUAUGAAGGCGGGCUGGAACCUCUCGGGGUUACAGCCUUGCUGAAUUAUUCACCCUUGUCUUUUGCGUACUUCUUGUUUCCUUGGUGGGUUCGCCCACCACUAGGACAAACAUAAACCUUUUGUAAUUGCAAUCAGCGUCAGUAACAAAUUAAUAAUUACAACUUUCAACAACGGAUCUCUUGGUUCUGGCAUCGAUGAAGAACGCAGCGAAAUGCGAUAAGUAGUGUGAAUUGCAGAAUUCAGUGAAUCAUCGAAUCUUUGAACGCACAUUGCGCCCUUUGGUAUUCCAAAGGGCAUGCCUGUUCGAGCGUCAUUUGUACCCUCAAGCUUUGCUUGGUGUUGGGCGUCUUGUCUCUAGCUUUGCUGGAGACUCGCCUUAAAGUAAUUGGCAGCCGGCCUACUGGUUUCGGAGCGCAGCACAAGUCGCACUCUCUAUCAGCAAAGGUCUAGCAUCCAUUAAGCCUUUUUUUCAACUUUUGACCUCGGAUCAGGUAGGGAUACCCGCUGAACU
rnacentral:rRNA from 1 species